AUUGAACGCUGGCGGCAUGCUUUACACAUGCAAGUCGAACGGCAGCACGGGUGCUUGCACCUGGUGGCGAGUGGCGGACGGGUGAGUAAUGCAUCGGAACGUGUCCUGAAGUGGGGGAUAACGCAUCGAAAGAUGUGCUAAUACCGCAUAUUCUCUGAGGAGGAAAGUAGGGGAUCGAAAGACCUUAUGCUUUUGGAGCGGCCGAUGUCUGAUUAGCUAGUUGGUAGGGUAAUGGCUUACCAAGGCGACGAUCAGUAGUUGGUCUGAGAGGACGGCCAGCCACACUGGGACUGAGACACGGCCCAGACUCCUACGGGAGGCAGCAGUGGGGAAUUUUGGACAAUGGGCGCAAGCCUGAUCCAGCAAUGCCGCGUGAGUGAAGAAGGCCUGGUUGUAAGACUCUUUCUAGUUGAGAAGAAAAGGUACGGUAGAC
rnacentral:rRNA from 1 species